UACGAAGGGGGCUAGCGUUGUUCGGAAUUACUGGGCGUAAAGCGCGCGCAGGCGGUUCUUCAAGUCAGUGGAGAAAGCCCGGAGCUCAACUCCGGAACUGCCAUUGAAACUGUAGAACUUGAGGAUGAGAGAGGUGAGUGGAAUUCCCAGUGUAGAGGUGAAAUUCGUAGAUAUUGGGAAGAACACCGGUGGCGAGGGCGGCUCACUGGCUCAUUUCUGACGCUCAGGCGCGACAGCGUGGGGAUCAAACAGG
rnacentral:rRNA from 1 species